UGUACAGGGUGUGCCAAAAAGUUCGCAACAAACGUUAAGUUUAGCAUCUUAAAAGUUGUCAUUUUUUGCCAUUAUUUGCAUAACUGUGUAGAAAUAAUAUUAUAUUAGGAGCUAUGUUUAUUAAGUUUGCUUUGUUUUAUCUAAUUCUAAUGAAAAAAAAAUAUAAAAAAUAUUAUUUGCUGGCUAAGGCUAAUCUGGACUUGACCUACUUUGUUUACGCGGAAUAGGAACCGCGGUUCUCGGCCAUAUCAUUGUCAAUGACCUAUCGAUUUGGCGAGUGUCUAAAUCGACUCUUACUUACGAGAUAUUCGUACUCAUCCGGCUUCGAACCGGCGUGAAUGAGCAAUGUAUUAAUAGAUUUUACACUCUUGCCAUGGAACAACAGCACGACAGAGUUUCCAUGUCCCGUUGAUUUUUUGGGUUAUUGGGUCCUGUAGCUUUUCCGCGUAAACUUUUUGGUGCACCAUGUGUUUAUAUUUUUAAAUUUGGUAUGACACACUGCACUAAAUGAUUUCGCUUCUUACACACGCUCUUUGUGGUUAUGGUAGAUGUCUAGAUGGAGCUCCUCAAGUUCGCUAUCCAGAGAAGUAGCUUCAUACAUGCUUAAAAAAAAUGUUCACCGCUAAAAAAAUAUCCAAAAAGAACCGUCAAGAUUCAUUUUUUCGCAACAUUAACAAUUAACACGACUUCGAGGACAUUUAGGAUAAUCAAUUUUUUAAUAUGGAACCUUCCGCGGUAAUGGAGAAUAUACUUAUAUAAUAUAAAUCGCAACAUUUGUGAUUAAUUUGUUUUUUAUAUGUGAUUAUUGCAAAUUUUAUUAAUUAUAAAUAUUGUAAAGAUACUAGCUGAAAGUGUAUAUUGUAUUGAAUAAGGGUAUAUAAUGUUAAAUUAAACCAAUUUAAGUUUU